rnacentral:misc_RNA from 1 species
ACCCUGGGCAUACCUACCUGAUCGAGGUCACCUGGGAAAAAACAGUUGCAAAUAAAUGCGUCGGCGGGCGCCGGCCGGGCCUACGGAGCGGAAGACGAAGCCCCAUACGCUCGAGGACCGGACGCGGUGCCGCCGCUGCCUUUCGGGCCCGUCCCCCGGGAGCCGGGGGACGAGGGCCCAACACACAAGCCGGGCUUGAGGGCAGCAAUGACGCUCGGACAGGCAUGCCCCCCGGAAUACCAGGGGGCGCAAUGUGCGUUCAAAGACUCGAUGAUUCACUGAAUUCUGCAAUUCACAUUAGUUAUCGCAUUUCGCUGCGUUCUUCAUCGAUGCCGGAACCAAGAGAUCCAUUGUUGAAAGUUUUAACUGAUUGCAAAGAAUCACACUCAGACUGCAAGCUUUCAGAACAGGGUUCAUGUUGGGGUCUCCGGCGGGCACGGGCCCGGGGGCGAGUCGCCCCCCGGCGGCCAGCAACGCUGGCGGGCCCGCCGAAGCAACAAGGUACAAUAGUCACGGGUGGGAGGUUGGGCCAUAAAGACCCGCACUCGGUAAUGAUCCUUCCGCAGGCCCCCCUUCCCCAAAA